CCUGGGCAUGGGAAGAGUGGGGCAAAGCAGACAGGAGCCUUCUCUAGCUGACCGCUGGUUUCUGGUUUCUCUGCCCAGAGUGCCAAGAUCUUAUCAGGGGGUGUUUAUCCAGGCACUUCUUGGACAGAACUUCCUUAGAAGACCUGUUUUGUGAUCCUUGGAUACAGGAUAUUCACCUGCCAUAGAAGAAGGGAGAGAGCCACAUGCACACUUUGCUGCAGGGCCCUGCUGGGGCCCUGGGCAGAACCCUGACAGCCUGGUCUGACCCCCAGGGAAGGAGAAGGAGCCCCUGGAGAAGCUGUACCAGGUGGGGCUGCUGCUGCUGGGGGCAGCGAGGGCAACAUCAAGGAUGACAACCUCUUCCUCAAGUUGGCCACUGGCAGCUGAAGAUGAUGGACUUCUGGCACCGUCUUCAAAGCCAGGCUCCACAGGGAAUUUGCAGAUGAGUCCACAGCCGGGGAAAUGCUCCCAGAUUUGGGCAUUGCACAGCCUGGCUGGGAACAAAAGGUUCCCCCUGUGCUGGGGCAGAUGCAACUUCAGUCGGCUGCCCAGCUGCUUUUUGGCAGGGCUGGGGGCACGGGUUGGGGUGGAUACAAAAUGGGAGUGGGCUCCUGGCCCUGCCAACAGCCCCCAGCACCCAGCAUGGCCUGGGCUGGGGCUGGGGCUGGGGCUGGGGCAGCCAGCCUGACACAAACAAA